rnacentral:rRNA from 1 species
GACGAACGCUGUCGGCGUGCUUAACACAUGCAAGUCGAACGGAAAGGCCCUGCUUUUGUGGGGUGCUCGAGUGGCGAACGGGUGAGUAACACGUGAGUAACCUGCCCUUGACUUUGGGAUAACUUCAGGAAACUGGGGCUAAUACCGGAUAGGAGCUCCUGCUGCAUGGUGGGGGUUGGAAAGUUUCGGCGGUUGGGGAUGGACUCGCGGCUUAUCAGCUUGUUGGGGGGGUAGUGGCUUACCAAGGCUUUGACGGGUAGCCGGCCUGAGAGGGUGACCGGCCACAUUGGGACUGAGAUACGGCCCAGACUCCUACGGGAGGCAGCAGUGGGGAAUAUUGCACAAUGGGCGGAAGCCUGAUGCAGCAACGCCGCGUGCGGGAUGACGGCCUUCGGGUUGUAAACCGCUUUCGCCUGUGACGAAGCGUGAGUGACGGUAAUGGGUAAAGAAGCACCGGCUAACUACGUGCCAGCAGCCGCGGUGAUACGUAGGGUGCGAGCGUUGUCCGGAUUUAUUGGGCGUAAAGGGCUCGUAGGUGGUUGAUCGCGUCGGAAGUGUAAUCUUGGGGCUUAACCCUGAGCGUGCUUUCGAUACGGGUUGACUUGAGGAAGGUAGGGGAGAAUGGAAUUCCUGGUGGAGCGGUGGAAUGCGCAGAUAUCAGGAGGAACACCAGUGGCGAAGGCGGUUCUCUGGGCCUUUCCUGACGCUGAGGAGCGAAAGCGUGGGGAGCGAACAGGCUUAGAUACCCUGGUAGUCCACGCUGUAAACGGUGGGUACUAGGUGUGGGGUCCAUUCCACGGGUUCCGUGCCGUAGCUAACGCUUUAAGUACCCCGCCUGGGGAGUACGGCCGCAAGGCUAAAACUCAAAGGAAUUGACGGGGCCCCGCACAAGCGGCGGAGCAUGCGGAUUAAUUCGAUGCAACGCGUAGAACCUUACCUGGGUUUGACAUGGAUCGGGAGCGCUCAGAGAUGGGUGUGCCUCUUUUGGGGUCGGUUCACAGGUGGUGCAUGGCUGUCGUCAGCUCGUGUCGUGAGAUGUUGGGUUAAGUCCCGCAACGAGCGCAACCCUUGUUCACUGUUGCCAGCACGUUAUGGUGGGGACUCAGUGGAGACCGCCGGGGUCAACUCGGAGGAAGGUGGGGAUGACGUCAAGUCAUCAUGCCCCUUAUGUCCAGGGCUUCACGCAUGCUACAAUGGCUGGUACAGAGAGUGGCGAGCCUGUGAGGGUGAGCGAAUCUCGGAAAGCCGGUCUCAGUUCGGAUUGGGGUCUGCAACUCGACCUCAUGAAGUCGGAGUCGCUAGUAAUCGCAGAUCAGCAACGCUGCGGUGAAUACGUUCCCGGG